AAUCAACGCUGGCGGCGUGCCUCAGACAUGCAAGUCGAACGAUUAAAGCUCUCUUCGGAGAGUGCAUAAAGUGGCGCACGGGUGAGUAACACGUAAGUAAUCUACCUUCGAGUGGGAAUAACGUCCGGAACGGACGCUAAUACCGCAUAACGCAGCGGCAUCGCAAGAUGACAGUUGUUAAAGAUUUAUCGCUUGAAGAGGAGCUUGCGGCAGAUUAGCUUGUUGGUAAGGUAACGGCUUACCAAGGCUACGAUCUGUAUCCGGUCUAAGAGGACGGUCGGACACACUGACACUGAAUAACGGGUCAGACUCCUACGGGAGGCAGCAGUC
rnacentral:rRNA from 1 species